AAACACUACAUCGUUUUGGUUUUCCAUUCUAACCCACUUUCAGUUUCUUCCGGGCUUCAGGCUCUUCUUCCUAUUCUCUGUUUCUCUUCCAAAGCUUGAAAAUUUGAGGAGCCCCCCCCAUCACUGUUGUCUUUCGCAACCACGAUGAGUCUUGCCGAGUCUCCACUACACUCUUCUAGCAGUGAUGACUUCCGGGUUGCUUGAGAGAGAACUAGACUCCGGUUCUUCCGAGCCAUCACCAGAGGAAGAAGAUGAAGAAGAUAAAGAAGCUGAUGAUGUUGAAAGUGAGAGCAGGAUAAAAAGGCGUAGGGGAGAUGAUUUGGAAAGCGUAGAGGAAACUAAUGGGUCGACCUUACAAGUACUUUCAGAACAAAACUCAGUAACAU